UAGUCAUAUGCUUGUCUCAAAGAUUAAGCCAUGCAUGUCUAAGUAUAAGCACUUGUACUGUGAAACUGCGAAUGGCUCAUUACAUCAGUUAUAGUUUAUUUGAUAGUACCUUACUACUUGGAUACCCGUGGUAAUUCUAGAGCUAAUACAUGCGCCAAGUCCCGACUUCUGGAAGGGAUGUAUUUAUUAGAUCCAAAACCAACCGGGGCAACCCGUUCUUGGUGAUUCAUGAUAACUUUUCGAAUCGCAUGGCUUUACGCCGGCGAUGGUUCAUUCAA
rnacentral:rRNA from 1 species